rnacentral:rRNA from 1 species
GAUGAACGCUGGCGGCGUGCCUAAUACAUGCAAGUAGAACGCUGAAGGAAGGAGCUUGCUCUUUCCGGAUGAGUUGCGAACGGGUGAGUAACGCGUAGGUAACCUGCCUGGUAGCGGGGGAUAACUAUUGGAAACGAUAGCUAAUACCGCAUAACAGUAGAUGUUGCAUGAUAUCUACUUAAAAGGUGCAAUUGCACCACUACCAGAUGGACCUGCGUUGUAUUAGCUAGUUGGUGAGGUAACGGCUCACCAAGGCGACGAUACAUAGCCGACCUGAGAGGGUGAUCGGCCACACUGGGACUGAGCCACGGCCCAGACUCCUACGGGAGGCAGCAGUAGGGAAUCUUCGGCAAUGGACGGAAGUCUGACCGAGCAACGCCGCGUGAGUGAAGAAGGGUUUCGGAUCGUAAAGCUCUGUUGUAAGAGAAGAACGAGUGUGAGAGUGGAAAGUUCACACUGUGACGGUAUCUUACCAGAAAGGGACGGCUAACUACGUG